GACGAACGCUGGCGGCGUGCUUAACACAUGCAAGUCGAACGGAAAGGCCCUGCUUUUGUGGGGUGCUCGUGUGGCGAACGGGUGAGUAACACGUGAGUAACCUGCCCUUGACUUUGGGAUAACUUCAGGAAACUGGGGCUAAUACCGGAUAGGAGCUCCUGCUGCAUGGUGGGGGUUGGAAAGUUUCGGCGGUUUGGGAUGGACUCGCGGCUUAUCAGCUUGUUGGUGGGGUAGUGGCUUACCAAGGCUUUGACGGGUAGCCGGCCUGAGAGGGUGACCGGCCACAUUGGGACUGAGAUACGGCCCAGACUCCUACGGGAGGCAGCAGUGGGGAAUAUUGCACAAUGGGCGGAAGCCUGAUGCAGCAACGCCGCGUGCGGGAUGACGGCCUUCGGGUUGUAAACCGCUUUCGCCUGUGACGAAGCGUGAGUGACGGUAAUGGGUAAAGAAGCACCGGCUAACUACGUG
rnacentral:rRNA from 1 species